GCCGGCGUAGCUCAGUUGGUAGAGCGAUAGUUUUGUAAACUAUGGGUCGGGGGUUCGAUUCCUCUCGUCGGCU
rnacentral:tRNA from 1 species